CUGAAGAAGGAAAACCUGGAGAUCAGGGCUUGGAGGGAACUGGAAACAUUGCUGUCCACCUUCCCCAAGAUAUAAAUGAUGAUCAUUUUGAAGAUGUUUCAGGGAUUCUGCAUUUGACAAGUGAUUCAACAGUGAAGUUUACUGUGAUUGUAUGGUGCACUUUGGACAAAAAGAGGGUUUCCCUACAAAGUCCAAGCUGGUCUUGAACUCAUGAUGUAGCUCAGGCCGACCUCAAACUCAAGGCAGUCCUCCUGCCUCAGCCUCCCAACUGCUGGGAUUACAGUGUUUUCCUCUGCCUUGUUCAUUGGGUCUGGCACCAUGCAACUGAUGGCUGUUCCCUAAAGUCAGAAUGACAUGGAAGAUCAGUGCUUUGAACUGAUUGAGGAACUGAGGCAGCCAUGACGGAGCCACCAAAGACACAAAAAUGUUCUUCAGGGACUGACGCAGGAAGUCCAAGCGUGAUGGGAGUCUCCAGACAGUUUUAUAUCAAACACCGGACCAUUUCAGUAUUUCCUGAGUGGUGAUCCUAACAAGCCCUUGGAAAAUUCCGGUUUUCCUGAAGAUGUUCAAGGACCACCUGGGAACGGCAACACUGGCACUCUGCAGGUGGUGGCAGCUGAAGGAAGAGGUGAAGUAAAGCACGGAGGAGAAGAUGGCAGAAGUAACAGUGGUGCCCCACAGCAUGGGAAGCGAGGUGGAGAAAGCGAGGGGUUCUCUCAUGUCGGAAGAGCGAGAGGGCACAGGAUGCCACAUCUGAGUGAGGAGACGAAGGGCCGACAGGUGGGCAGUGGAGGUGAUGGUGAGCGCUGGGGCUCAGACAGGGGCUCCUGAGGCAGCCUCAGUGAGCAGAUUGCUCUUGUGCUCAUGCGACUGCAAGAGGACAUGCAGAACGUCCUGCAGAGGCUUCAUAAGCUGGAAACACUCACUGCUUCGCAGUGCAGGUUGAGGGAGACAGACAGAUCUACCUCUGGCUGCUGUGCACUGUCACCAAAAGGCCACAUCCUGCAGACAGCCAGCGUGGGCAGAGAGAACCAGCAGAUCCACCUUCCCCUUCAGGAAGCUGACACCAGAAGGCUUCUUCCUGCAGGUAGCCAGUGGGAGCAGGAACCCACAGCCAGAAAACUGAACUGAAGAAAAUGAUGUUUUGCUCAAGAAGACUGCUGGGCCUGGAUGAUCUCAGAAUGAAAUGGAUUUGGAGCGCACAAGAAAAUCUUAAUUACAUUUCUUUUCUGUUGUCCAGUAGUUCGGUUUGUGUACAUAUAUACUUGUAUAAUUUUUGCAUUACACAGUGGUAACAUUUUGAGGACUAAUAUUUCUGAUACUUGAAUAAUCAAUCUCAACUAAUAAGGCCCCGAGGGUCCUUAGAAAAAAGGUGGGUGAGGAAGAGGAGUCCAGCAAUUCUGAACGCUGAUGGCUUCUAGUCCAGAUGGGACUGAGAAUUACAGCCCUUUUUAAUUUUUAUUUUUAUAGGCAAAUAUAUUUUAUAUAUGGUCAACACUGACUUUUUACCAUUAUAUAAACUUGGGAUGACAAAGGGCUCCAGUUUGUCCUCCCCUUUUUAGAAUAUAAUCUCAUUUUAAUGGAAACAUUUUGCAGUAAAGGUUUACUGAUCUAAUACUGUCAAAUUCUGAACACAUUUGUUUUUCUGUUUUUUUGUUUCUGUUUAUUACCAGUCAAUUAUCUUUUUUUUUUAGCUUUUUAGACAACAUUAAAACUAUUCGGUAUUCACACAUGCGAGAUUGAUUUAUUUCACUUAUGAGUAUGGUCUCAAGCUGCGUAAAAUAGCUAGUUUUGUAGGACACGUAGAGUCCAACUCUGAAGUCACCCGGGAGAGAGUUGGACAGGUUGUAUGGCGGGAGGGUGGGGCACUGGGAGCUCUACGUGUGUUCUAUCCAAUUUAGCUGUGACCCGAGAAGAGCCCUAAAAAGUAGGCUAUACUGAGUAGUACACCGAAAAGAGAAAAGCGGCGCCCGAAAAUCUGCGGUCCCCUGCCUCCCUAAAUAAACUCGGGCUAACUCUGCCUGCCUCACCCAUGGACCUGUGCCCACCCGCGGCGUCAUCACUGUGCUCAGGAGAAGCAAGCCUGGCUGCAUCGAGUCACAUGCUCGCUGUGUGGCCUCAGUGGGAAGGAAUGGACACAGCUGGGAGUUCCAGAAUCACCUCUGGAGAAGGAAAAGUUCCCCGAAGGAAAACGGGAAGGAACUGGGGAGGGCACUGGUGGCAGAACCAAGGAAGGGUGCUGAGCAGAAUUUAAAAGUAACAGUGACCACUCCGAUCUGAUUUGACCUACAAAACUAGCUAUUUUACGCAGCUUGAGACCAUACUCAUAAGUGAAAUAAAUCAAUCUCGCAUGUGUGAAUACCGAAUAGUUUCCCUAAUGUAAGUAAUGAUUCAAAUAUAUAAAAGUAUGUGGUAAUCAUGAUUCCCCAUUAUGUGGCCUUGAAGCCUUAUAAAGUUUUCACUUAUUAAUUAGAAAGGCUUUAUUCUGGGCUUCUUGAUAUGGAAAUAUUUGAAGCUAUAGUAAAUAAAGUUAUAUUCAAAUAUUUCAAGGAAAAAAUAUUUCAGACACUAUGGUGACUACUAUUAAGUCGGGUUAUUUGGUGGUGAAGCACUAGAUUGCUGAAACAGUCAUGCUUUGACCUGUAUUGUUAUGUUGUUAUGUCCUCUUUUAUCUCAAUCUCUCCCUUAUUCAUUAAAAAAUUAUUUAGUUAUUUUUUAUGGUUUUUUUAAUUAAGGGGAAAAAUCAAAAAAAUUAGUAGGAUAUAUUUAUAGUAACUUUUUUUGAUUUCCUAUUAACUUGUUUUGAAGUCCUGUAAUACUCCCACUAUCUUGUUUUGACUGAUUAGACUCUGUUCCAUUCUGUAUGAUAGUAUCAAGUUUGAGAGUAUAGGCAACUACUUUGAAGGCAAAAAGAUUCACUAAGAUGCCCACUCUGGUUUGACUAUUAUCUCCUUUAGAAGUCCUGUAAUGUUUACAAUGUUUAAGUUUUAUUGGUCUUGUUCUCUACUGUUUUGUUCAACUUUAUAAUACCUAAUGAGAUAGACAAUUCUUUUUAAGGAAACAAAAGACAUUAUGGUAACCAUUGUUGAUAACCUUGUACUCUGUUUUUACAUCAUGUGCUAUGUCUAUCCUUGGUUUUGACUGACAGCUUUGUUUUGCCAUAUUUUACUGUAUUCUCUUCCAAAAAAAAAAGUAAUAAGAACUAAGGAGUAAUAAAACCCAAAAUGUGUAAAUUUUAUUGUAAUGAAUAAGGGAGAGGGAAAAAAAGUUCUCUAAAGGAUACAACUGCAAGUGUGUUUAGGGGUGUUAAAUAGCUGACCAUAUUAAUGUUUUUGGUUGGAUCAUUGAACACAACUGUUUGCAGUCUCUCUGUUUGAAUGUUCACUUUGUAUGCUUUGAUACUGUGACUUGAGCAACUAUCUCUAAAAUGAUAAUGUGUAAUCUAUUAACUGGUGAUUUUGUUACUUUUUUUUUUUGUAGUUCUGUAUUACUUGUACCCUUACACCGCUUUGUUUUGUUUUUUCUCUUUUUCCUUUUAAAUAAAAUUUUUUUUAAAAAGUA